CUUGGAAAAAUUAAUACGCCAUCAUAUGGCAUGUGGAGUUAAGGAAAUGGAUGAAAAUUAAGAGUCCAUGACAUUAAGGACUCUUCCAUAUUCAACGCAUAUAUGAAAGGGUAUCCCAAUUUAUUUUGGCAUGUAAGUUCCUUCCAAGAGAAGGACUCCUUCUCAUUUGUGCCCACAAUCCCAAAAUCCAUCAUAUGACAUGAGGAUUAAAAGGGACGCAUGGAACUUGGAAAGAAAUUUAAGAGAAGUAAAGGAGGACUCCUCUUCUCCAAUGCCAAAAGUAAAUGGGCGUAACUUAAUUUUGUGUGUGUGGUGUUGGUGUGGAGGAGUUUAAUUUCACAUGAAACUCUUCCAUAAAAAUUAGAUAAGCCACCUAUUUAAAUAUAGGUUCAAACCCAACCACAUU
rnacentral:lncRNA from 1 species